AAGCUGUUGUGACCUAAACCAAAGUCAAGUAGGUGAGUGUAACAUUCAUGAACGCAUGUGCUACCUAGAAUUCCAUUUUGGGGAGGGCCCGAGAACUGCACGAGACGCGUCCGCGCGCGAGAUCUAUCUCCGCUCGCUGCUGCUGCUGUCGCGCGGCACAUGACAAGCGAGUGCGCGGUGCAGAACCCAGGUGAAUGCUUUCAGGAGGCGGCGGUGACAGUCAGGACGACGCUCCCGACGAGUCAACUUGAUUACAUUUGGGCGCAUCCAAGAGAAGAAAAAACAUGCAUGUCUUCUCCGAAGAAACUUGUAUGCGGAAUCAGAACUGGACCCUAAGAUCGACAAACUUUCCUACAACUGUCAAUGCGUAGGCUACAAUCAAAACAGUGGAGAAAAAUGAGUUGAUAUAUCGCUCAAACAAUGGAAGACAAGCAGAGGCUGACAAAACAGGGUCUUGCUGGUUUCCAGCCGUCAGAAGCAAGGAAGCGAUACAGCAGCCCCAUGUCUGUGCUUCCUAAUGGGGAGGGAAAGGGUGUCCAGCUCUCACCAACACCCAGCCGCUGGACUGAAAGCCGGCUCCGCACUGUUGAAAUGUGAGUCUAGGAAGAGGACCCAGAAGGCAGCAAGAAAAAUGAGGGACUUUUAGGGGCAGCUGUGUUUUAUUAACCCAGUCAUAAUGCCCCUAAAAAUCCUUAUUGCUCUUGCAAUUUUCAGCGUCCCAACGUGGACAGACAUGACCGCGCAGGGCUUAAUGCACAUGCAUGCUCUAAUAUAACAGGAUGCAUAUAGAGAAUAAGAAAGUCUUCUUGUGAAAUGCUUUUCGGACCCUCCUUUUCAAAUGCAGGUUCCUUAUUUAGCUAGUUGUGGUUUGUGACACAGUCAAAGAAUUGUCAAAAGAUCUUGUGUAGCACACUAUAUGUGGUCUAUGUUAAUAAGCGGUUGAGUAAAUACACUAUUUCCUUUCAUUAAUUCAAUGUACGCUUUCUCUUUCAAACCUGCUUUUUUCAAAGACAUGACUUCAUUCUGCUCUGAAUCGAACUGCUUUUUGUCACGUCCACUAGUCAGUGUAAGCCUUGUGAACACCAAAUGAAGCUCCCCUGCUUGAGGUUAUGUCUUUUUAGAGUUUGUCAGGAGAUCUCUGAGACAAAGCUGUGUUGUCAAAUAUCAGUUUGAGCUCAUUCAUUCUCCCAAAACUUUCUAGUAAGUUGUCCAGUUCUUCUGAACACAACUGUAUUUCGCUGUAGGCGUUCUUAGCCAGUCAGAGCAAAACCUGAGCCUGCUUCAUGAUCACAGCAGAUUCUCUCCCUUAUUAUAAUGCUACUUGGAAAUCACAUUGACACACUCAAUAAAUGGUCUAUAUAAUUCCCCCGUUUUGGUGAGGGGCAGGUAAUAGCCUGCACAGAGGCUGAGAGAAAAAGUGACUCAGCUCGGAGAGGAUGCAUGCGGUUUGAGACUGUAAACCUGUGGAAUCUCGAGCUGCUCUUUGAGAUCGCCUGCUGUCCCACACGUCUCAUUUGCACUUAGCUAUUAUCACAGCACACUGGAAAUGGUGCAUUUCCCUCCGGCCAGGACAUCCCUGUGCAAAAAUUAGCCAAAGAGAAAGGAAUGGCUAUUAAAUAUAUUAAAGCAAUAUUUCAGACACUUUACAUAUUGAAAUAUACAUACUGUGUGCAAUAUACUGUAUGUAUGUAUGUAUCAAGAGUUUAGGGUCAGUACUUUACUUUUUUCUAUAAAUUAAUGGGGGGUUUUUAGCUAUGACAAUCAUUUUUGAAAAAAUUCCCAAUAUUGUUAUUUUUUACUGUAUUUUUGAUCAAAUAAAUGCAGCCUUGUUGAGCAUGAGACUUCUUUCAAAAACAUGAAAACAUCCUUCUUACUGACCCUUCAGAACGAGAGUGUACCAUUUUUGCUCAUUCAAUUGGCUGACUGUCUUUAUGACUGUCAAUUACUUUAAAAUGUUAAGCAAAUGGAAAUACAUUAUUCUUAUUAAUUAAUUGCUACCAAUAUUUGCUGAGAAAAAAACAAAACAAAUGUAGAUAUUUCAAGAAAUUUGAAUUAUUGUAGAAGACAAGUAAAGCACUGAAUGACAUUACAAAAAGUGUCUAUAAAGUCAGUAUAUUGCCUUUCUAUAUCAUUACAUAGCAUAUCAUAAGUUCACAGCAACUCAUUUGUUUAAUUGUUUAUGUACACAGGCAGACUGUUGAGCUGCGUCUCGCUCCAUUAGCGCUGUGAGCAAAAGAAAAAGAAGCAACUAAUACAAAAAACAAAUGGCUAUUCAAAAAAAAAGGGUACAGCACUGGAGGGAAUCAAAGAUCACAAACAUUUGAUUAACAGUGUGCAAACAGAACUGAGUUCAACUGAGUUUUGAUAUUUUGGCGAGAUACUGGGGGAGGGUAUCCCAGAAUUUAAGUUCCUAUACUGCCAAUGGAGGACAAUGGAAGCAUUAUGGGCUGCAAAGCUCAGGAUAAAUUAACUAUUUAAACAGUUUAAUGCGUAAGAGUUUAGAAGGGAGUAACAGUCAUCUAAAUGUGAGUUCAUAAAAGCAUGCUUAACAAUUUAUUAAAGCAUAAGUGAAGGACAAAUAAAGGUUUGGUGGUGCAGAUGAGAAAACUUGAUGAGGUGCUUGAUAUGGGCUUUAAAUCAGAAUGACAAGUCAAAAAUCACACCCAGUUUACAGUAUGUGAAGCCGUCAACAGGACAUCACAGAGAAAGAAAGAGAUUUGGGUCCAACUAGCAGUAUUUUGGUUGUGUCAUUGUUCAAGUUGAAAGAAAUGGAAGCCAUCCACAUCUUUGGAUCCUUGUUAUUAAAGCUGAUGUGGUAUCGCACAUAACUUCUGUGACUGUAGGAUGAUAUUAAUCGAGCUCACAGGAGUAUGUCUUCAUAGAAAGUGAUGACAUGCUUGUGCUUUUAUGAUGCACCCAAACCCAGAUUUCACACACUCGUAUAUGAAUCACACUCUCAAUUUUACAAACAAACAUGCAUAGUGACGGCGAGUGAAAACUUGUUGAGCGAUCCCAAAUGCUCAUGAAUAGUUUGUGUGUGUGUGAUUCGGCAGUUGUGAGUUGUUGAGGAGUGAAGAGGCAGUGGUCUGUGACUGGGUGGGGAAGAGUACUAGAAGGUGGUGAGAAAAGAAAGGUGACACAGAUCUGGUGACUCAGCACAGACACACCUCCUAAGCCACACUGACUCACAAUCACAGUGAGGAAUUUGUUUAUCUGGAAACGUUAGAUAUUAAUGCUUCACAAUUCAUAGUCAAAUUUAUUAUAAGGGUUAAUACCGUUAAUUAAAAUUAAACCAUAAAAAUGUUUAAUAUUUCGAUAAACAAACUUAUUUUAUCUCAGCUAGUUACCAAGGCAAAAUUUAUCAUUUUCAUUUAGUUUAAACCUGAAUUACUAAACUCACUAAAAAUAAACUUAAAUGAGAAUUUAUAGAAACUAUAUAUAGACAUAUUUUUAAAAGACAAAAACCAUUACCAAAAUUUUCAAAUUAAAGUGAAAUAAAAUCUAAUGCAAAAUAUUAGCAAAAACUAUAAUAGUAUAUCAAUAAUACUAAAAUAGCACUGAACAAUAAAGUCAAAACAAUAUAUACAUAUGUGUAUAAUAUACACAAAUGGGUGCAUGACGAUCCUGACUUAAAAUGAAGCCAGUAUUUUAACAGAACACAGAACUUCAGCCUCUCAGUUGUUUAAAGUGUUGUUUCUGGUGCCUGCUACAGACACAAAAUGAUGUUUUCUUCUCCGCAGCAGGAAGAGGCCUCAGGCCUGUAGGCACCAUCCAGCUCCAACUGAGUAAACUACAUAAAAGCACUAACCACAAUCAAAGCACUUCUUUUCAAGUUUGCUUUUACAUACUCUAGUUGUUUCACCCGGGAGUAAUUGUCAAAUUGUUGGCUAUAUAUAUAUUUAUAUAGUGUUUUUAUGUGUGCGGGUGUAUACAUACAUAUUCCUAUAAGCAUUAUUAAUACUAAGCAAACGUAACCAAGAUACACAGUCUCUACUAAGCCUCUGCUGGAUGGAAUAAGGAGAGGGAAUGCCAGAUUAAAUCAUACACCUCGUGAUUAAAAUGAUUCACAAACAUGCCCUGUGGUCUGAUAGACCUCCGCCAAAACUUUAUGCGAAUACUGAAAGAUUUGCCAGGAGAAACGAAAGAUCCUAUCAAAUAUAAGAAACAAGAUGAGUAGAGGUGAAGAAAUCUGCUUUUGUUAAAGUGAAAAAUGAGAGACGCAGCAGUGGUGAGAUAAAAAAAGAGGAAGCAGCAGUAGAAAGAUGUGCAGGAACAGACAUUAUAUAUAUGAUAUACGACUGAAGUCCUAUAUACAAUACAAAUGACACGUUCAGACCCAGCCAGCAGUCUUCAGCCUGGUGGUGUGCUCUACCACCAAACUUAUUUUUAGUUUCUGAGGCAAACAGUUUUCUCUGUAUUUCCUCCUAGCACGUCUGUCAAGGGGGAAAAAUAGUUUUUUUAAAAGCAAACAUCAAACAUAUAGACGACAGGUUGUCUUUAAUAAAAUCAAAUCAGUUUAGGAAGUUUUGAAAAUUAUUGUGGCAUAGAGUGCGGUUGAAUUUGGACUUCUUGUUUAUAAAAGGGAAACGUGUUUUUUUGAAAACAGUCCAUGGCAUGGUUUCCUCUAUGUACAGGCCUUUUAGCAAUGACUCAAUUGAUAAAAAAUGGACAAAACAGCUUCCUGAGAACAGGGGUUUUCAAUCCCCUAAUGUGGUAAAGACUUGUGCUUGUAAAAAUUUAAAUGAUAUGCAAUAUGAGCAGUCAUAAACAUACUGGAGUGUAAGAACCCGCUGUGUGGUAAAAUCUGUCUAUUGUCAAUCCAACUGGGCCAAAAGCAUGUUCAUGUCCCAGUCAGGAGUGGCCAAAUAUAAAUACCUUUUGUCAGUUUGUAAGACAGAUCCUUUUCUUAAAAUAUGUAUUUUCAGUAACACUGUAGUAUAAGGACCAAAUAUUACUAUUAACUAGUUGCUUAUUUUCUUGCCUAUUAUUAACAUAUUGGCUGUUUAUUAGCACUUAUAAAGCAUCUAUUCUACACGACCAUAUUCUACAUCCCUUAACAACUAACUUAAUUACAAUUAAUAAGCAGCAAAUAAGGAGUUUAUUGAGGCAAAAGUCAUAGUUAAUGGUUUGUUAAUAGUAAGAAUUGGACCUUAAGAUAAAGUGUGACUAUUUUCAGUCAUUUUAAAUAAAAAAACAUCUAAUAAUUAAGAUGAAAAGUUACCUUGACUAAGUUUUUGCUUUUAUUCAUAACAGUUAUUAUAGCAAAUUAGUGUAGCUUGAAAACUUGUGUACAAACUUAAAAGAGGUCUACAAAAACAGAAGAUAUCAGCAAAUAAAAAUUUCAGAAAGUCAGCAUGCCUUAAAUUUCCCGUGAAAUUGAUUAAAAGAUCUAUAAAAGUUAAUACCUGUAAGUCAAGUAUCUUGUUUUUUUGUGUUUGUUGACCACUACAGUGUCAUAGGUCACUAUAAAGCACUUUUAAAAUUAAUCACUAUAAACCCAUCGUGAGAACCACGGGAGAGGCAUGAUUUCAGCUGUUUUGCUGGUUUCAUUACGAAAUAAAUUAUAAAUGGUACAACAAUUUGUACUAAAUGUUUUGCUUCCUGAUAUCCCUUGGAUUUGCUGAAAGUUGCAUGAAUAAAUAUUUCAGAAUCAGCAAAUCUUAACAGACAGGUGUGUUACAUUUAUUUAAUCUGAGGCAGAUGUUUUAUUAUCAAACCCUAUGAUGAGACUAAGUAUGUUCUAUCUGUUGAGAAGUGUCUGUUUUAUUUUUAUUUUUUUUAAAUAACCAUUAUUUUAUUGUAUGCGUUUUAAUUUUUGUUUUAAAAAAUCCUUAAAAUGAUUUAUUUAAAAAAUGUAUUUUAUUGAAAAAGUCAUGAUCCUUUACUUUCUUAUAUAUUAACUCCAUUGCAAUGAAUGUUGCUUGUACCAAACAAUGUGUAUUUUCACAGCUUGAAUCAGUGCCAGGAAGGUUUAACUUGCUAAGAGAUUUUAAAAUUACAGGGGUCACUAUGUUCAUCAUGUCCACAAUGCUUUAACCAAGUAUAAAUCUUGCCAAAACCAUGCUCUUCCAAAUCUGGCACAGAAUUACAGUUCCAUGUAGUUCACACAGCAUUUCAACACACAACUGACAGCUCCAAAAUAAGAUGGGCAAAAAUAAAGGGGCCUUUUACCCGAGCCUCCUCAACAACAUAUUUAAUGAUUCUAGUUGUAAACAGUAUUUUAUUUAAAAUAUAAAUAUAAAAUGCCUCUCCAGCAUGUACAGGAAGAGCUCUUACUUUUGCUUGCAAAGACCAUUUUUGUAUGCAUUUGUGAGCUAUAGGCCACAGGAAAAUGGUGUUUACUUUUGGUCAUAAUAAGCCAUAAUUUUGGUUCAAAAAGACCUUUAAUUUGCAAUCACUGUAUAUAUUAGCAUGUCACAAACCUGUUUUAUUUACACAUCUGUAGUAAAUAGCAUAUUUUUAGAUAAUGUUUAAACAAAGAUUUUACUCUCUCAUGCCAAACAAAAUAAUGUUACACUUAACUUCAGCAUGACCUCAGUAAUAAACAUUUUAAAAGAACAAAUAAUGUGAUUUAUGUCAUUUGAUAAAAAAAAACAUGUGAAUAUUAUUUAACAAUCCAGUAUUCAUGGAGCUACAUGUUUGCUGGGUUCUUGCUCCACUAGAGCUGUCUAGUGAAAGUGUUGAUUAAUUUUUGGCAAAUGUGGGUGUAGACUGUAACCAAUUACCAAACUGAACCGCAGGAUUCAACCUUAAAUAACCCUAAAAAACAAAACACACUUUUGCUUGAGCAGGCUGAAUUAGUGAAUUAACCACUGCCUUGACCCACUUGUGCUGAAUGCUCUUUGAAUGAGUACAUCAGGGGAGUUGACAUCUUUGUUGCAGGAAGAUAAAGAGGGGCACCAGUGCCCAAAUUUAGCCCAUUGUGGGCCAGGCCAGCUAGACUGGUAGAAACUGAUGAUACUAAAUGGACUACAUGAGAGUUCCAGACCGCACAGCACAUCCAGUGCACACAACCUUUUUUAGAGUGUACACUUUAUGACCUCUCAAUUUUACACUUAUAUAAAAAAAGUAUUUUUACAGGUUUUCAGUCAC
ensembl:lncRNA